AACGAACGCUGGCGGCAGGCUUAACACAUGCAAGUCGAACGGGUGUAGCAAUACAUCAGUGGCAGACGGGUGAGUAACACGUGGGAACCUUCCUAGGGGUACGGAACAACUCAGGGAAACUUGAGCUAAUACCGUAUACGUCCGUGAGGAGAAAGAUUUAUCGCCAUUAGACGGGCCCGCGUCGGAUUAGCUAGAUGGUGGGGUAACGGCCUACAAAGGCGACGAUCCGUGGCGGGGUUGAGAGGAUGAACGGCCACACUGGGACUUAGACACGGCCCAGACUCCUGCGGGAGGCAGCAGUGGGGAAUUUUGGACAAUGGGCGCAAGCCUGUUCCAGCCAUGCCGCGUGAGUGAAGAAGGCCUUCGGGUUGUAAAGCUCUUUUGCCAGGGACGAUAAUGACGGUACCUGGAGAAUAAGCCCCGGCAAACUUCGUGCCAGCAGCCGCGGUAA
rnacentral:rRNA from 1 species